CCAUUGUAAAUGAAAGGAUACACCUGGAGUCCAUGAAAUGUUUUGAAAACCCUUUCAUGAUUGGAUUGAUCAGCAUUAGAGAAACAACACAUCUUUUGCAUGGUUUAUCUUGACAUCUGAAACUUGACGGGUUAUGUGAUUUUUGGCAAAUGCUGGACCGCUUCACUUCAUGUGCACUAGAGGGCGCGAUUGAGCUUUACACGUUCACAACCUGCAUCAGGCGACCUUUCAGGUGCAUGUGUUGAAAGCGGGCGUGUCGAGUGUGUGAUGCUCAUCCCUGAAGCUUUGACCUUUCAGUGUGGAGGAGCUUCUGCUCAGGAAAAAGAAGCUCAUACGGGUUUGGAUGGACAUGAAGGAGGCACGCACAGAUGAUAUUUCAGAGUCAACUGAACUGCUGUUAUGAAGCUGUAUUGGCCUUUCUUAUCCUCCCUGAUCACCGUAUGUGAAAGAGCAGCUUGGACGGUCCAACAUCUUUUAUGUUCCUCGGCAGAAAGACGGUCAGAGUGGGUUGGAACGACGUGAGAAAAGACAAUCACAAAGGUGUAGAUGACAUGAGGACGCACUCUUUCAUACAUCUACAGUGUUGUGAAAACUCCCUCCUCACAUCGCGAAUACUGACCUAUCACAGCCUGUCUGGAGGAGGUACAGCUCCAGAAACACCCUCGACCUCAUCAGUGACGGCAGAAGAGGGACGUUUUACAUCUCAGGCCAGAUCCUAUACCUUGAUGCUGCUGAAAACAACAAGGCAUCAACUGCCUUCUCACUCUUUCUGGAGGGUGUUCACAAACUUCACGAGUACGUGGUGACCAGGGAGUGGAAAACGUGGAUAUUGCACGUUGCAUGUUCUCCGUGCGAGGAACUGGUCGAUGUAGCUUCAUUGCUGCCGGAAAAAGCGUUCACAAUCAAAGAAUUGAGCGCCUGUGGCGUGAUGUGUGGUCAGCCGUCACAUCAAAAUACUACGAAACCCUACAUGCAAUGGUAGAAGAUGGAGUGCUUGAUCUAUCAAAUCAACUACACCUCCUCUGUGUGCACUACACAAUUCUUCCACGCUUGAAACUGGACCUGAAGUGCUUCAUUGGGAGCUGGAACAACCACCCAAUCAGCUUUGGCACAUUGGGAUGCUGCAGACUCCAGUAGCUGAUCCAGAUGUAGAGAUAAUCGAGCAACUGUGUCAACAGCAAACGUCUGAUACUGACCCAGAAGAUGGUGUGGUGGUUCCAGAGAUCCAAUGCCCUUUAUCUGAACAGAGCUUUGCUGUUCUGCAGGGAUUAAUUGAUCCCCUGACAUCAUCACUGAACUACAGAGAGCUCUAUGUCCAGUCACUUGAUAUUAUUCAAAGACUGAGCUUUAUUAACAUUUGACUUUUGAAACAUAAAAAAAAGAAACUUGGACAAAAAAAAACCAAAACAAACAUAUGUUGUUACAUCAGAAAUGUAAUUCAAAAGAACAUCAAAUGUAAGUGCGUUUUGGCUAAACUAACUUCAUAACACUGUUAUGCAAAUCUAAAACUUUGUAAGCCACUCUUUAAAUAAUAAAAGAGAAAGUAGUGUGUGUUUUUUUUAAUAGAGGUGAAAUUAAAACGACAUAACUGCAUUAACAUCUAUUGUAAACCCUGUAAAAGUAAGCUCCCUGCUGCACUGCAAUUUGUUUUCUUAAAAUUCAUUUAAACUUGUUACAUGUGCAGUGGGGAAUGUGACUGUGGGUGGAUGCACUGACAACAGGGUAGCAGAUUCUGUGGUUUCGCAUACGUUCCAAGCAUGUAUGGUCAAAUAGAAAUGUGAUUUUAAAAGCUUGUUUCUCUGAAAGGAGCAGAUGUCUAUGUGCUUGACCAGACAGCCAGCUUAAAAACAGCCAGCUCAAAACUACGUCUAGAAACCUACAGCUAUA